UACGUAGGAGGCAAGCGUUGUCCGGAGUUACUGGGCGUAAAGCGUGUGUAGGCGGUCGGAUGCGUCCGGUGUGAAAUCCUCCCGGCUUACCGUGGGAGGGGGCAUCGGAUACGGGUCGGACUUGAGGGCAUCAGAGGCCAGUAGAACUCCCGGUGGACCAGUGAAAUGGGUAGAGAUCGGGAAGAAUACCAGUGGUGCAAGACGGCUGGCUGGGGUGUACCUGACGCUGAGACACGAAAGCAUGGGGAGCAAACAGG
rnacentral:rRNA from 1 species